GAGAGUUUGGUGGUGUUGUUCA
rnacentral:miRNA from 1 species